rnacentral:rRNA from 1 species
GAGCAAACAGGAUUAGAUACCCUGGUAGUCCACGCCCUAAACGAUGUACACUAGUUGUUGCCAUGCUAGUCAUGGCAGUAAUGCAGCUAACGCAUUAAGUGUACCGCCUGGGGAGUACGGUCGCAAGAUUAAAACUCAAAGGAAUAGACGGGGACCCGCACAAGCGGUGGAGCAUGUGGUUUAAUUCGAAGAUACGCGAAGAACCUUACCUGGGCUUGAUAUCCCUGGAAUCUCCUGGAAACAGGAGAGUGCUAGUUUACUAGAACCAGGUGACAGGUGCUGCACGGCUGUCGUCAGCUCGUGUCGUGAGAUGUUGGGUUAAGUCCCGCAACGAGCGCAACCCUCGUCCUUAGUUACUAACGGUUCGGCCGAGGACUCUAAGGAGACUGCCCUCGCAAGGGGGAGGAAGGUGAGGACGACGUCAAGUCAUCAUGGCCCUUAUGCCUAGGGCGACACACGUGCUACAAUGGGAAGGACAAAAAGAAGCAAUACCGCGAGGUGGAGCAAAUCUCCAAACCUUCUCUCAGUUCGGAUUGGAGUCUGCAACUCGACUCCAUGAAGCUGGAAUCGCUAGUAAUCGUGAAUCAGCCAUGUCACGGUGAAUACGUUCCCGGGUCUUGUACUCACCGCCCGUCACACCAUGGGAGUUGAUUUCACCCGAAGCCGGGAAGCCAAACUGGCUACCGUCCACGGUGGGAUCAGCGACUGGGGUGAAGUCGUAACAAGGUA